GAUGAACGCUGGCGGCGUGCCUAAUACAUGCAAGUCGAGCGAACAGAUAAGGAGCUUGCUCCUUUGACGUUAGCGGCGGACGGGUGAGUAACACGUGGAUAACCUACCUAUAAGACUGGGAUAACUUCGGGAAACCGGAGCUAAUACCGGAUAACAUAUUGAACCGCAUGGUUCAAUAGUGAAAGGCGGCUUUGCUGUCACUUAUAGAUGGAUCCGCGCCGUAUUAGCUAGUUGGUAAGGUAACGGCUUACCAAGGCAACGAUACGUAGCCGACCUGAGAGGGUGAUCGGCCACACUGGAACUGAGACACGGUCCAGACUCCUACGGGAGGCAGCAGUAGGGAAUCUGCCGCAAUGGGCGAAAGCCUGACGGAGCAACGCCGCGUGAGUGAUGAAGGUCUUCGGAUCGUAAAACUCUGUUAUCAGGGAAGAACAAUGUGUAAGUAACUGUGCACAUCUUGACGGUACCUGAUCAGAAAGCCACGGCUAACUACGUG
rnacentral:rRNA from 1 species